UAUUACUCUGAUCCUCACACUACUGAAAGGCAGCUAAUCUGGAGAAAUGUGAAUUUCAUCGGGGGCAAAAGGAAUAAUUUGAGAGAAUGGGGCAUUUUAGAGGAAUGGAGGUCUUACCAGGAAGAUAAAGGAAGGUACUUGAAACAGGUGAAAAAAUUGUACUGACACUGGUCAUCCACAACAGAAAAGAAGAAGACUGAGAGGUAAGACUGGGUUGCAUAAAGGGGCAAUACUUGCCACUCUAAGUCUGUGCCCAUGAAUCUAUAAAGUAGCUGAGAUCAUGAGCUUUGGGAUCUGAAUGGCUUGGGUUUGAAUCUUACCUCUGCUGUUAACUAACUGUGUCACCACGGGCAACUUUUUAACUACUCUGAACCUUUCCUCUUUGAAAUAGACCUACCAAUGCUUAACUCACAAGGCCACUAAAAGAGUUAAAUGAGGGUGUGGCAUAGAGUAUUUAGCACAUGCCUUCGUAAGCACUUUUCUAUAAUAAGCACUCAAAUGGUAGCAUACCAACUAUUAUUAUUUUUGUAGUAUCAUCCUAUAAUUAUAUUUUUGUUAAAGUUGGAGAUUUUUAAAUGUUUAAUGUUUAUUUUUUGUUUAUCCUCUAGAUUGCAUGGCUAUUCUGAAUUGUGAAGUUGCUAAAAAAAAAGAAAGAAAGAAAGAAAAAAAAGAGAAGAAAAAGAAAACCCCACAAAAACUCAAAACCUUCAUCUGGAUUGGUGGAGGGCAUUAAAUCAACAAAGGUAGUGCAUGGAUUACCAGUUUAUGACUCAAGAAGAAAACAACUUAUAAUUUCUCUGUAACUCAGAGACUGAAGUAAAUUGGGACCCUUCUAAAGUAGAACAAGAUUACUAUUCAGAGAUGCUAUUUUCAGCAGAGAAAAGGUGAAGAAAAGACGCUUACUACUUCAGCAAUAAGAACGGAGCAGUAUUCUUCCUUCCAGUUGGAAAGGCUUUGGAGAGAAAAUGUCUCACUUGAGCACCCCAGGGGCUGCAGAACUGGUCCCACAGUGUGGUCUAGGUAAUGAAUUUGCAGGAGCGGUGUUUACUCUUGCUGGUGCACACCCUGACAGACAUCACCUCAGCCUGUGAGAUUGCAGGGGCAGGAGGCUGUCCACAACCACAAGUUACAGCUCA